rnacentral:rRNA from 1 species
AAUGGGGGAAACCCUGACGCAGCAACGCCGCGUGGGUGAUGAAGGCCUUCGGGUCGUAAAGCCCUGUCGGGAGGGAAGAAAUGAUUGAGAGCUAAUACCUCUUGGUCUUGACGGUACCUCCGAAGGAAGCACCGGCUAACUCCGUGCCAGCAGCCGCGGUAAUACGGAGGGUGCAAGCGUUGUUCGGAAUUAUUGGGCGUAAAGCGCGUGUAGGCGGUUUGCUCAGUCUGAUGUGAAAUGCCUGGGCUCAACCUGGGAAGUGCAUUGGAUGCUGGCAGACUUGAGUACGGGAGAGGGUAGUGGAAUUCCCAGUGUAGGAGUGAAAUCCGUAGAUAUUAGGAGGAACACCGGUGGCGAAGGCGGCUCUCUGGACCGAUACUGACGCUGAGACGCGAAAGCGUGGGUAGCAAA